UCCAAACCUGCCCUAAGAUAAUUUCUGUCCCAACGUCCUUUCAAGAUUAAUAAUCAAUGGGUACCACAAAAAUUCUCCAAGUGUAUGGACCAAACCCUGGAGCACAAGUGUGGGGGACCCCUGGGGAAGGGGGUGGGGGCCCGAGCAGACCAGAACUCACCACCAUCAAUGGUUCAAGUUUCUGUCCAGAAUUCCACUUCCAACAAAGCUAUUCUCCAAGUCAAAAACUCUCCAUUACUGCUGUUUUUCUCCUAUUUUUUUUAGUCUUUUUCGUAUUGUUUACUCCCAUUAUAAAGCUCAGAUAGCAGAAACCGAACCCUUUCCUGACAUAAUUUGGGUCUGUGACUCUGUUUUGUGAUAAAAGGGACAUGGCUGAUCACCGCAAGUGCCCAUAUCAUUACUGCUGUAAUUGGGUCGGGAGUGCUAUCUUUGGCAUGGGCAAUAGCGCAGUUGGGUAGGGCUGCCGGACCGGCUGUUCUCAUGACUUUCUCCUUCAUCACCUAUUUCAGUACUUCCACCCUUCUGGCCGACUGUUACAGGUCUCCCGACCCCGUCACCGGAAAGAGAAAUUACACCUACGUGGAUGUUGUGAGAGCAAAUUUAGUACAAUGAAAUUCUCGGCAAAGGAUCUUCAACGACACUUUACAGGGCAUUUGAUGAGUAUGAAGGCAUUGAAGUUGCUUGGAACCAAGUUAAGCUUUAUGAUUUCCUGCAAGGCCCUGAAAAUCUUGAAAGACUCCAUUGUGAGAUUCAUCUCCUUAAGACACCGAAGCACUCCAAACAUUAUGAAAUUUUACACUUUUUGGGUUGAUAUUGCAAAUAGGAAUAUCAAUUUUGUUACAAAAAUAUUCACUUAUAGGACUCUGAGGCAGUAAGCGUUUUUUUUUUUUUUUUUUUAUGGAAUCUUAGCAAUUGCCUCAUCUAUUUGCUUGUUGAAUUCUAGACCCGAAGAGGACGAUGAAGGCGAUCUCUUCUUUAUUCCAGACUCAAAAUUGUAGAUUUUUUCUUCUAAACUCAGACGCAAUCUCUUAUUUCUUUUAAAAUUUGAAUUUUCCCUCUUCCCA